GAUGAACGCUAGCGGCAGGCCUAACACAUGCAAGUUGAGGGGCAGCAUUUGUAGCAAUACAAGAUGGCGACCGGCGCACGGGUGAGUAACGCGUAUGCAACCUACCCAUAACAAGGGGAUAGCUCCCGGAAACGGAAAUUAAUACCCUAUAGUAUCCCGAGAACACAUGUUUACGGGAUUAAACUAAGGUGGUUAUGGAUGGGCAUGCGUGCCAUUAGCUAGUUGGCGGGGUAACAGCCCACCAAGGCGACGAUGGCUAGGGGGGUCUAAAAGGAUGAUCCCCCACACUGGUACUGAGACACGGACCAGACUCCUACGGGAGGCAG
rnacentral:rRNA from 1 species